UAACACGUGGGCAAUCUGCCCUGCACUCUGGGACAAGCCCUGGAAACGGGGUCUAAUACCGGAUAUGAGCCUCUUCCGCAUGGUUGAGGUUGUAAAGCUCCGGCGGUGCAGGAUGAGCCCGCGGCCUAUCAGCUUGUUGGUGAGGUAACGGCUCACCAAGGCGACGACGGGUAGCCGGCCUGAGAGGGCGACCGGCCACACUGGGACUGAGACACGGCCCAGACUCCUACGGGAGGCAGCAGUGGGGAAUAUUGCACAAUGGGCGAAAGCCUGAUGCAGCGACGCCGCGUGAGGGAUGACGGCCUUCGGGUUGUAAACCUCUUUCAGCAGGGAAGAAGCGAAAGUGACGGUACCUGCAGAAGAAGCGCCGGCUAACUACGUGCCAGCAGCCGCGGUAAUACGUAGGGCGCAAGCGUUGUCCGGAAUUAUUGGGCGUAAAGAGCUCGUAGGCGGCUUGUCACGUCGGUUGUGAAAGCCCGG
rnacentral:rRNA from 1 species